CAGGAUUAUCCGGAAUCCGAUCAAGAUGAGGACUCAGACACGGAUAACUUUCCUAUAUUAGUUAGAUCCAUGUCCACGUCACGUAGACACAGCUGGGAAGUGCCAGUGUCGCCGAUUGACCUGGGAAGAAGGUUCAGUCUAGACACUAACGGCAUUGACAGUGAUGGGGAAAGAGAGGUCCACUGUUUGGCCAAAAGUCCCCAUCUACCAUCUUCCUCCUUCUCCGAAAGCUCAGUGGAAGAAACCACUAGCGCUGUGGAAAGUGAAAUCCCCGAAACACCAAAGCCAACCACGCCAGCAAAGACAGUAUAUUCCAGAUCUGAUAUCCUUGCGACUGAUGAAAAAUCCCAAGCAGACAGAGUCUCCCACAUACUGGAGACUUCUAAGCAGGCUGCCAGAGAGGCUGGAGAAGAGCAGGAGUCAGAAGAGGGGCUGCAGUCAGUGGAAGGAUGGAGUCAUGUGUAAGUUUUCACAUCUUUAUUUUGUUUAAGAGCACC
rnacentral:lncRNA from 1 species